AUUAAGUUCAAGAUGGGGAGGGGUUGGGGUGAGGGCUGGCCUGUCUGAGGAGGGGCAUUUGCAGUGCUGGAGCAAGCCAUGGAGGACAGGAAUUGCUCCAGUCAGAGGAACAGCAAGGACAAGGGGCCCAAGACGGCAUGUACUAGAGGCUCCACGCAUAGAAAAAGCCAGCCAUCCCCAGCGCUGUAACUGAGUGGCCAGUGGUGGGAGGUGAGGUCACAGACGCGGAGGGGGCAUACAUGGGAAUUGGGACAUUGGCUUUUUCCUGCCUCUACACUACAACUACACCAUCAAGCCUUCAGACAUGGAAAGGAACCACACUAUUGGCUCUCCUCGGUCUUCAGCUUGCCAACUCAAUGCAGAUCUUUGCAUUUGUCAGCCUUAUAACCAUGUGAGCUAAUUCCCUAAAAUAAAUGUCCUCA
rnacentral:lncRNA from 10 species